rnacentral:rRNA from 1 species
GACGAACGCUGGCGGCGUGCCUAACACAUGCAAGUCGAGCGGGAUCCAUUCGGUGGUAACACUGAUGAAGAUCUAGCGGCGAACGGGUGAGUAACACGUGAACAACCUGCCCCGAAGUCCGGGAUAACCCGGGGAAACCCGAGCUAAUACCGGAUACCCCCUACUGAUCGCAUGGUCGGUAGAGGAAAGAUUUAUCGCUUCGGGAGGGGUUCGCGGCCUAUCAGCUAGUUGGUGAGGUAACGGCUCACCAAGGCAUCGACGGGUAGCUGGUCUGAGAGGACGAUCAGCCACACUGGGACUGAGACACGGCCCAGACUCCUACGGGAGGCAGCAGUGGGGAAUCUUGCGCAAUGGGCGAAAGCCUGACGCAGCAACGCCGCGUGCGAGAGGAAGGCCUUAGGGUCGUAAAUCGCUUUCGACAGGGACGAAAUUGACGGUACCUGUAGAAGAAGCCCCGGCCAACUACGUGCCAGCAGCCGCGGUAACACGUAGGGGGCGAGCGUUGUCCGGAUUUAUUGGGC